AGAUGGAAGAAUUCAUCUAUCAAGUUAACAAAUGUAAAUUUGCUGUAUUAAUGCUGAGAUCAUGAAGACUUAGAGGAGCUUGAUGUUUGUCUAUGUUUUUCCAGUUAUAGCUGCUGAGAAACCUGGUAGCAAUUGACCUAAAUAGUGAAAAAAUAAUGGCGUGACUCAGCUAUGGAGCACAUGCCCAACGUGCAACAUGCCUUGCUUCUUGUGGCCACCGGUACCUGCCGAGGUGCUGAGGAGUUGGCUUCCAUGUGUCCUUACCAAAUGAAGUCCUGAGAGCUGUGGGACAGUCCUGAGCAGCUGUGUGCGACCUCCGCAAUCACCAAGGUUACCUUGCCUUUCAAGUUUGGGUUGUGAAAAAGAAGUGGAAAAACAAAGUGAAGUGUGAUGGCUUAUAAAACUCUGCCAACAGUGAACUUUGUUUUCUGACAAAAUAAGAGUGGUUUUGCUUGCGUAAAUGUUUGAGUCACCUCACUUAAUAUUUGCCUAUUUACUUUUAUGGACUGAAGUGUCCCUGUACUAAAAAAGUGACUUGUGGGUUUGCAAAAUAAAUUCAACUUGUUUGAGAAAA